rnacentral:rRNA from 1 species
UUAAGUCCCGCAACGAGCGCAACCCUCGUUCCAUGUUGCCAGCGGGUUAUGCCGGGGACUCAUGGGAGACUGCCGGGGUCAACUCGGAGGAAGGUGGGGACGACGUCAAAUCAUCAUGCCCCUUAUGUCUUGGGCUUCACGCAUGCUACAAUGGCCGGUACAAAGGGUUGCGAUACUGUGAGGUGGAGCUAAUCCCAAAAAGCCGGUCUCAGUUCGGAUUGAGGUCUGCAACUCGACCUCAUGAAGUUGGAGUCGCUAGUAAUCGCAGAUCAGCAACGCUGCGGUGAAUACGUUCCCGGGCCUUGUACACACCGCCCGUCAAGUCACGAAAGUUGGUAACACCCGAAGCCGGUGGCCUAACCCCUUGUGGGAGGGAGCCGUCGAAGGU